rnacentral:rRNA from 1 species
AUGGUACUGAGACACGGACCAUACACCUACGGGUGGCUGCAGUCGAGAAUCUUCCGCAAUGGGCGAAAGCCUGACGGAGCGACGUCGCGUGGUUGAUGAAGUCUUUCGGGAUGUAAAGACCUUUUAUGUGGGAUAAAGUUAUUGAUAGUACCACAUGAAUAAGGGGUUGCUAAACUCGUGCCAGCAGCAGCGGUAAUACGAGUGCCCCAAGCGUUAUCCGGAAUUAUUGGGCGUAAAGGGUGCGUAGGUGGUUUUGUUAGUCUUGUGUUAAAACCCGGAGCUUAACUCCGGAUCUGCACAAGAAACGGCAUAACUAGAGGGUGUGAGAGGUCUGUAGAACUCAUGGUGUAGGGGUGAAAUCCGUUGAUAUCAUGGGGAAUACCAAAAGCGAAGGCAGCACACUGGCACAUUACUGACACUGAGGCACGAAAGCGUGGGUAGCGAAUGGGAUUAGAUACCCCAGUAGUCCACGCCCUAAACGAUGAUUUCUCGCUAUUCGGAGUAUCGACCCUCUGAGUGGCUAAGCUAACGCGUUAAGAAAUCCGCCUGGGAAGUACGGCCGCAAGGCUAAAACUCAAAGGAAUAGACGGGGACUUGCACAAGCAGUGGAUUAUGUGGUUUAAUUCGAUGGUAAACGAAGAACCUUACCAGGGUUAGAAAUCAACGUGAAAGCUCCAAGAAACUGGAGCCCUCGCAAGACUAGUUGACAGGUGCUGCAUGGCCGUCGUCAGUUCGUGGUUUGAAUUGUACCCUUAAGUGGGCUAACGAACGCAACCCUCGUUGUGUGUUACAAGUGUCACACGAGACUGCCCCGUAAUUUGGGCACAAGAACAUUGUGUAAUUUUUAAAGAGAUUGGAACGAUAAUCCGACGUUCGGACACGUCGAGACGUAACAACUCGGCUUCUGUCUCCCUUUAAAAAAUACAUAAUGACUUUUGUGACCAAAUUACGGGGA